rnacentral:lncRNA from 1 species
UUUAGAGCUUCUGAACUCUUUUCCAAUUCAGAGGCUUUCCAAUGGCAGCUGUGAUGACUAUGCAAACCGGCAGGAUUCAAAAUCUUCGAGCACUGGUAUAACUUCUGUGGGGUCUUUGGACUACUGAACAAUUUAAGAAGUUAAGAUACCACUAUUUCUUCUGUACUAUCAGCUUCUCUUCCACCUCUUUCAGUUUCAGAGGUGGAAGGGCAGCCUAAUCCUAGCGUAAAGUUUUCAUAUAAGCUAUUACUGUAAUUAGAAAAUACUGUUUCUCGUUUUCUCAAGCUAUUGAAUGCCUACAGUUGAUAUUAGGAGACAAAUAUUUUGCAAGCUCAGCUGUUUGCUUUUGUUAUUUUGCAGUCCAUUUAUUAUGAGCUAAAUCUUACUGUAGAAUGAACGUCAUUUUCCUGUGUCAUAACUUGGCGUUUUAUGCUCAUGCUCAGAUAGGUUUUAUGCUCAUGCUCAGAUAGAUAAAUAUUAGAGCGUGGUUGUGGUUGUUUUUUAAAAUAUUUUUUAUUUAUAAAUAUAUUAAAAUAAUAUUUUUUUUAUUUUUAAAAAAUUAUUUUUGAUAUUAAAUCUAAAAACAUUAUAAAUAUAUUAAUUUAAAAUAAAAAUAAAAAAUUUUUAAAUUAUUUCAAAAAUAUUUUUAAAAUAUAAAAAUAAACAGUGUAGAUGACUAACUUGGAGCCGGAGGUGCAGGAACUGUCACUUGCUGGGAGAUUGAUGGCGGCAAGGUAUUGAAAAGUGAAAUCCACUUUUUCUAGGGUUUGCAUUAAUGCGAAAAUGGCCUGCCUUGUUAUGUUCUUGGUCUGGAAAAAGCCCCAGCCAGCCGCCCAGUCCCACCCUUGCUUUUGAUUUGACCAGGCUACUGAUGCUGUAUACAAAAACAACGAUCAAGCCAAAUCUGCCUCAAUAUCAAGUCCCAAAAGUCUGCUAAUUUCCCUAUUCAAUUUGGAUAAACAAGCAUGCGAAUAUAUAUAGACCGUCGAGUACUCUGCUCGGAAUGAAAAUCAAUCAGGUAAAAAUAUAUAGACCUGGAUUAUUUUUUCUUGAGGUCGAGGGGGCCAAGUGUUUGAUAUUAUCAAAAUCAAGUUCUUUUCCGAGUGAUUUGAGUGAAACGGAACACUAUUUACAAAGAAAUCUAGGAAGUUUUUCUGGUGUUGGAUUAAAUCAAGAAAAAUGAGCAAAUUCCUCGACCACAAAACUAAUUUUCCAAGCUUAAGGGCCUGGUACAAUUAACCUUGAGAUUUCAAGAAUGGCGCUCGCAGGCAAAAAGUUAGCCUCGUGAGGCACGAGAUAUCCUCCAUCUAAAAACCCAAUUUCACAAGAUUCUACGUUCCCUUUAUGGCUGUGAGGAUGAUCUUUCAAGCAGUGAAAGGGAAAGGAGAGAAGAAAAAGGUUUGGUUGAGCUCUCCUUUUUCUUGUGGG